ACGCAAAGCGAGUUUGUCCUUCAAGGCGCGUUUGCAGCGCUCAUGUAUGAUUUUAUGCUUGAGUGUGCAAAUACGCCUUGAGAGACAAUUUUGUGUAUGUGCGUGCAUAUGUAUAUGAGACGUAUCAAGCGACGCGAUGCGCGAGCAGUGCGAGUACGCAGUACGUGAGUACAUGGUAGCGCGAUAACGUCGUGACGCUAAGAUAUAGUGUUAAUAAAAAGGUUAUAAUAGCGAGAAUAAUCACACAUGGAGAAAAUUGUACGCUGCAGACUAGUGCAGACAAUUAUGCAGACAUGUUCAAUUUUACAAUAAUAUGGAUCAGGAUAAAGCGAAAUCAGUCAAUCCUUUCAAGAAGACCGGUGUAAUGCACCUGCAAUCAGCUGAAAAACUUUGUUAAACAGCAUAAUAUAAUUAUAGUAAUAUAACUAAGAUAAGUAUAAUUAGCGUAAUAUAACUAUAUUUCCCAAAUAGCAAGGUGUCUUAAUUAUUUCUUGAUAUUGUCUAAAUUAUAACGCUUAUUUGCAGGAUAAAACGAAAUCAAUCAAUUCUUUCGAGAAGAGAAAGAAAUGAGUUGUGGCACGAUCCUUUUAUAGAGCAUUGUAGUCUCUUGAUAGAAGACGACUCAUGUCAGUUAGGUUAUAGAGAUUUGACAGCAACAGACAACAAUCUGCAGAAGAUAUUAAUAAAAGAAAUAGAGGAAUCUGAUACUUUGAAUGAAAGAAAGACAUCGUUCGCAAAACUCGACGAGAGAUCGUAAGAUUAGCGACAAUAACUGCAACCGAAUGCGACUUUGGCACCUGUUUGGACCUGGGAGACGACCUCUUUUUAAACAGCGGCAUUCGUUCAAACAACGGCUUUACAAACGUUAUUUAUUGCUUAUUUAUUUAUAAGAACU